UCAGCCAUUGAAACCCAGCAGAAGAGCAGGCAGGGAAGGGAGGGUGGAGGGGCAGAGGCUCCCCUUUUCAUCUGGGCUUGGUUCCGGAGGAGGCCAAAAGAGGAAUUUACCCAGGGAAGGAAUUUGAAGGCAAAAGUCCCAUCUAAAGUGAAGAUUCCUCCAGAAGCCGACCACAGAGGCCACCAUCGGAAAGCCUGGGCCAGACUUUCUCCCCUACUGUGAUGACGAUGCCUUCACUACCACCAGUAUUGAUCAAAGGUACCAGAUCUCCUGUCAAGAGACAUUGUAAUGAUUGGAAAAUCUUCUUGAUAUCCUCCUGAUAAAGGGGACAACGUCUUCCCAGAUAGCCUGGACAGAGAAAACUCUUCCUUCAUGGAAUGUCACCAUCUGGCACAAUCAUUCUUCACUUGAGCCAAAGAAAAUUCAAACACACCCCCAAACAACUAGCACACCAUGGAAAGAGAAAAUCUAAUGGCUUCUUGCUAUAGUUUGAAUGUGAAAUGUGCCCCACAGGCUCAUGCAUUUCAAUUGGUGAUGCCAUUUGGGAAAGCUGUGUGAUUUGUAAGGAUCAUACCUUGAUGGAAGAAGUGCAUCACUGGGGGCAGGACUAGAGAAGCCUAGCCCCGCUUCCUGUUUACUCUGCAUGUUUCAUGACUAUGCAUGUAAUGUGACCAGCUGUCCUCUGGCUCCAGCUGCCACACAACUCCCUGCUGUGAUGGAACAUAGACCCUUGAACUGUAAACCAGAAUAAACAACAAAGUCCCAACUCACCAAAAUCCCUUAUCAGUAAGGGAUACUUGCCCUAUAAAGAUUUCACUAAUAAAUGUUCAUGAAAAAUGGUUAAAACCUUCAGGGGUAUCCAAUCUUUUGACAUCUCAACAUGACAAUGUCAUCUACAAACGUUCUGGUUAGAAUCUGUAGUUACAGGAGAGCAGAUACCUGAGAUUCACACAUGGUAGCUUGGAAAGACCUGCCAAAUGACAGGGUCUCUAACUUGAGAUGGUUUGACUUACAUUUUUCAAUUUUAUUGUGGUACAAGAUCAAUAAGCAUCCUGUAAGAACUACACUUCAAAUCUUUCAUCUGGAUCUUUUCUAAGACUAGUCUUUUUAUGCAGUUAGCCAUAUUCUAUCAUGGGCUAUUUGUAAGUUAUGAUUCUCAGUCGGUCAUAUUAUUAAAUGUUUUUGUCACAAUGAUGAUUCCAAUUUAUGGAUGUUUAUGAGGAUGUAACUCUAAGUCACAAAGCACUUGUAGCUUCUUUGACAUUAUUGCUAAGUAACAGGGAGUGUGCACUGUGCCUGCCUGCCUGCCU